rnacentral:rRNA from 1 species
AUUGAACGCUGGCGGCAGGCUUAACACAUGCAAGUCGAGCGAGCGGCGGACGGGUGAGUAAUGUCUGGGGAUCUGCCUGAUGGCGGGGGAUAACUACUGGAAACGGUAGCUAAUACCGCAUACCAUCAGAUGUGCCCAUAUGGGAUUAGCUAGUAGGUGCGGUAAAGGCUCACCUAGGCGACGAUCCCUAGCUGGUCUGAGAGGAUGACCAGGCACACUGGGACUGAGACAAGGUCCAGGCCCCUACGGGAGGGAGCAGUUGGGAAUAUUGGACAAUGGGGGGAAACCUGAUGCAGCCAUGCCGGGUGGUUGAAGAAGGCCUUCGGGUUGGAAAGGACUUUCAGCGAGGAAGCGGUACCCGCAGAAGAAGCCCCGGCUAAAUCCGUGCCAGCAGCCGCGGUAAUAA